rnacentral:rRNA from 1 species
CCCCACAUUCGUCGUACUUUUAGUAAUGCAAGUCGCACGGGAUCAUUUUUGUAGUAAUACUGGAAUGAUUUAGUGGCGCACGGGUGAGUAACACGUGAAUGACAUGCCCUUCAGAGGGGGAUAGCCCAGGGAAACUUGGAUUAAUACCCCAUGGUCUCGCAAGAGUAAAGGUGGCGCAAGCUGCCGCUGAGGGAUUGGUUCGCGCCCCAUCAGCUAGUUGGUGAGGUAACGGCUCACCAAGGCGAUGACGGGUACUUGGUCUGAGAGGACGAUCAGGCACACUGGAACUGAGACACGGUCCAGACACCUACGGGUGGCAGCAGUCGAGAAUAAUUCACAAUGGGGGCAACCCUGAUGGUGCAACGCCGCGUGGAGGAUGAAGGUCUUCGGAUUGUAAACUCCUGUCAUCCGGGAGAAAGACCUGGCUGUGAAUAGCAGACAGGGUUGAUAGUACCGGAAGAGGAAGGGACGGCUAACUUCGUGCCAGCAGCCGCGGUAAUACGAAGGUCCCGAGCGUUGUUCGGAAUCACUGGGCGUAAAGGGAGCGUAGGCGGUUUGGUAAGUCAGAUGUGAAAUCCCGGGGCUCAACCCCGGAACUGCAUCCGAUACUGCCAGACUUGAGCAAUGGAGAGGUAGCUGGAAUUAUCGGAGUAU